rnacentral:rRNA from 1 species
UACGGAGGAUGCAAGCGUUAUCCGGAAUUAUUGGGCGUAAAGCGUCCGUAGGUGGCUAUUCAAGUCUGCUGUUAAAGCGCAGGGCUUAACCCUGUAAAGGCGGUGGAAACUGGAGAGCUAGAGUGUGGUAGGGGUAGAGGGAAUUCCCGGUGUAGCGGUGAAAUGCGUAGAGAUCGGGAAGAACACCAGUGGCGAAAGCGCUCUACUGGGCCACAACUGACACUGAUGGACGAAAGCUAGGGGAGCGAAUGGG